ACGACCUACGGGUGAAAGCAGGGGACCGCAAGGCCUUGCGUCGAUGGAGCGGCCGAUGCCGGAUUAGCUAGUUGGUGAGGUAAAGGCUCACCAAGGCGACGAUCCGUAGCCUGGUCUGAGAGGACGACCCAGCCACACUGGGACUGAGACAGGCCCAGACUCCUACGGGAGGCAGCAUGGGGAAUCUUGGACAAUGGGCGAAAGCCUGAUCCAGCAAUGCCGCGUGUGGGAAGAAGGCCUUCGGGUUGUAAACCACUUUUUGGCGGGAAAGAAAUGGUCUGUGCUAAUACCACGGAUUGAUGACGGUACCCGCAGAAUAAGCACCGGCUAACUACGUG
rnacentral:rRNA from 1 species